UCUUCACUAGUAUAUCGGUUAGUAUAUUCGCCUCUCAGUCGAGAGCGGCCGGACACGUCUUCCUGAAGACAUCGGCCUGACCGCGAAAGAGCAGGGUUCAACUCCCUGGUGGAGAA